GGCAAAUGCACUGCCCUAUUAUUGUAGUAGCGCAUGUCAAAUAUAGAUGUCCUUAGAGUUAGAUCCAUCGAUGUAUGUAUCAAUAAAGCAUAGAAGUUUCUAUACCUCCGUCAUGGCAGGACGGUUAAUUUUAUCACCUUUCGUUAUUAAUUAAACACAACGUAGGAAGAAAGAUUUAUCCCUUGCGCGAUCAUAAUGGGGCCGUGACCGUCCUUUUUAGAACAUCAAGUGGUUACAAAACGCAAUCAUCGAUGGAUUCAAUUCGCACAUCUUCUGCAAGUGAUCAUCAUCAUCAACGAUGGGCAUCUACACUCCCGUGCAAAAGAUUGGGUUCACCCCCUCAAAAACAUACAAAAUACCUACCUAUUCAUACGGCAUAGCACCGAUCAUCGCAUCAAGCUGGCUAUUCAAUACAGCAGCAAUGGGCUCAGUGUUCAGGAUAUCCACAUCACUUCCAGCUACGAUGGUGCGGCCACGACGGUAGCCAUCUGGCAAAGCAUGCGGCGUUCCUGACUCCUCGAGGACUUGGACAGUCUUAGCCAGGAACCAUGCUUCUAUUCAAUGGCGAGUGUUAUUGUCGGAUCUUGUAUCGUUAAAAUGUGUUUUACAAUGUCAUGUACUUCGUUAUCGUUAAUUUGAUUUGCUAAUAAAAAACGGGGGGCGGUAUGUUUGGGCAAAUGCACUGCCCUAUUAUUGUAGUAGCGCAUGUCAAAUGUAGAUGUCCUUAGAGUUAGAUCCAUCGAUGUAUGUAUCAAUAAAGCAUAGAAGUUUCUAUAUAUCCGCCAUGACAGGACGGUUAAUUUUA